rnacentral:rRNA from 1 species
AACGAACGCUGGCGGCAGGCUUAACACAUGCAAGUCGAACGAGAUCUUCGGAUCUAGUGGCAGACGGGUGAGGAACACGUGGGAACAUCCCUUUCAGUUCGGAAUAACGUUGGGAAACUAACGCUAAUACCGGAUACGUCCUUCGGGAGAAAGAUUUAUCGCUGAAAGAUUAGCCCGCGUCCGAUUAGCUAGUUGGUGAGGUAACGGCUCAGCAAGGCUACGAUCAGUAGCUGAUCUGAGAGGAUGAUCAGCCACAUUGGGACUGAGACACGGCCCAAACUCCUACGGGAGGCAGCAGUGGGGAAUAUUGGACAAUGGGCGCAAGCCUGAUCCAGCCAUGCCGCGUGAGUGAUGACGGCCUUCGGGUUGUAAAGCUCUUUUGUCCGGGAAGAUAAUGACUGUACCGGAAGAAUAAGCCCCGGCAAACUUCGUGCCAGCAGCCGCAGUAA